GCCAAAUUCGAAUUUAUAAUCAUUUGGCCAAGCGUUCUCCCUAGGGAAGGUCAGCUUGCUUCAGUUCUUGAUAAUUUUGCGGUUUUAAGUUUUUAACCUGGAAGAAGCCUUAUUUUUCUGCAGAUUAUAGGCUAAAAUGAAAAAGUGAUGCUGUACUUCUGAGUGAAUGUGAGUGGGGGCUUCCUCCCCUUACAAAUUUCCGCCAGUGAACAGCAUUAUCAUCAAGCUAGACAAGACCAGUUAUUGCAGAAGGACAGGAGAGAGAGCAGUGUGUAUAGUCGUCUUCAAUUAGGAUGUUUGAACUGGAAGGUCACUUAAAACAUGGGAGACUAUCAGUUACAGCACAAUGUUAUAUUUAAUAAAGGAAUUUGGGAUGGCCUGUGUCUUGCUAAUAGGAGUGAGGAAUCUUAAAGACCGAAAAUAGCACAGCUUAUGUACGUUGCCAGGAAUGUGAUUAACGAGAAUUUUUUUUUAGUUCUGGAAAGCAGUUGCUAAGUAGGAAUCGCAGAUACUCCAGAGAGAUGAGAUCAACAAUGAGGCAAGUUUACCUGUAUGGUAACAAGUUGUUGCAGUUCCUUCGUACUGAUCGUUGACCAUGUUUCGACUAAAAGAUGGAAGAUACUUACUAGACUAGAAAAGAAAUGUUGGUGGCUGUAAUCAAGACCAAAUUUUACAACACUUGAUGAUGCAACUAGUAAUGUGAUAAAGAUCUACUGGUGUAGCAGGGGAGGUGGUGUAGCAGCUGAGUAUCCUAAAACCACAGCAGAGUUCCCAGCAUAGGGAAAGUGUAAUAGGCGAGAUGUCCUAAAACACAGGAGAGUUUCCAGACAUAUGGAAGGUGGUGUAGCAGCCAAGUUGUCCCAAGAUCACGGGGAAGUUUCCUAGAAUGGAAAGGUGGAGUAGCAGUUGAAAUGUCCAAAAAUCACACAUGCAAAGGAGGGAUAGAAGUUAAAACAUAUUAAGACUGCAUUAGCUUUUUUCAAGCACAUGGAAGCGUAGCAGCAGCCGAGGCGUUUUAAAAUCACAGCAGUGUUUCACAGCAUUUAUGGAUAUAGGUGGUGUAACAUCCGACAUGACAAUAGUCUAUUGUUUCUUGGCUUUGGAAAUCUCACUAGACUACCUAAGAGUGCAGAAGAUGAUCUCAGCAUAUGGAAAGGAUGCCUAACUGCAGCUGAGAUGUCUUCGGAUUUAUGUAUAUAUUGAAUAACCAAUUGAGAUUUUGAUAAAGUUUUACUGGGCAGCAUUCUGUUAUGUUAAGAGGCAAUUUUGUAGGUCAAAUGACUUCCAAAUGCAGGUUAAGAAAGCUCGACAUCUGUGAUCAUUCUCAUGAGUAGCUUUAUCAUACAGGCAAAGGUGAAAUGCGUCUGUAUAGUGUUGGUUUAACAGCUUUUGAGAAAGUUUGCUUGCAUAAAGAACAUCAUUUCAGCUAAAACGGCAUCAUCUCGGGCAGUGGUAGCUGUUGCUUUUUGUAGAGCUUAGGUCUUCCUGCUUUGAUGUCCAGAGACGUAGUUGACAUGAACAUCAUGUUUUGAAGCACUUCAAGGCUUCCUACUACGAUAUCCAGAGAUGCAGUUGACAGGAACACCAUGUUUGGCAGCUUUUCAAAUGCAAGCUGCGGCAAAUAUGAUGUUCAUUUCGGCAGAAGAAUCAAGAUGUUUCCCAGGACGUACAUUACUAGAGUAGGGAGUUUGGACCUCGUAGCAAAUAUGACGCACUUCAUUUCAGCCAAAGAAUUAAUACGGUUUCUCGUACGUACAGUACUAGAGAAGGGAGUUUGGACCUCAUUAUCCUCAUGCAAUAGAAAGAUGACCAGCACGAAGUAUUCAGUAAGGCUCUUGGUAUUUCAGCUGAAGAAAUUACCUGAAAAGAAAAGCCAGUAUUAGGCGUGCCAGCUUGUAAAAGAUAUCCCGUCUAUUAAAACUAAAAUUGAAUUAUACAGUCCGUAUAAGUCGUUUUGUAAACUGUAUAUGAAAAAAAAUCCUAGUGUCCACUGCGAGAAUAUAAUAUCCACCCCUGGUGUAUGACACGUAAUGUUGAUGUUCCUAGAAGCUUAGAAAGAAACCUGAGACUACUACUGUACCUAAGUUCUUGCUCCCAGUCCUCGAACUUCAGUAGAAAGAAGCCAGACUACAACUACCCAAGUUCAGUGUGUCGUGGCCGUGUCUCAAUUCUUGAAGGAAAAAAAAGUUUGCCGGAUAGGUCAAAUUCCCUAUGCUUUAAGAUGAAAGUGAUUACGA